UCUGCAAACACCUGUUUUGCCAG
rnacentral:snRNA from 1 species